UGGCUGCUCACUAUUCAAUCACAAG
rnacentral:piRNA from 2 species